GACGAGCGCUGGCGGCGUGCUUAACACAUGCAAGUCGAGCGAGUGGAUUCCCUUCGGGGAUGAAGCUAGCGGCGGACGGGUGAGUAACACGUGGGCAACCUGCCUUAUAGAGGGGGAUAGCCUUCCGAAAGGAAGAUUAAUACCGCAUAAUAUCAGAUUAUCGCAUGGUAGACUGAUCAAAGGAGCAAUCCGCUAUAAGAUGGGCCCGCGUCGCAUUAGCUAGUUGGAGAGGUAACGGCUCACCAAGGCGACGAUGCGUAGCCGACCUGAGAGGGUGAUCGGCCACAUUGGGACUGAGACACGGCCCAGACUCCUACGGGAGGCAGCAGUGGGGAAUAUUGCACAAUGGGGGAAACCCUGAUGCAGCAACGCCGCGUGAGUGAUGAAGGCCUUCGGGUUGUAAAGCUCUUUGAUCAGGGACGAUAAUGACGGUACCUGAAGAACAAGCCACGGCUAACUACGUGCCAGCCGCCGCUGUAACAC
rnacentral:rRNA from 1 species